GGGUCACUGGGUUAGUCUGGGUCACUAGGUUAGUCUGGGCCACUACGUUAGUCUGGGUCACUAGGUUAGUCUGGAUCACUAGGUUAGUCUGGGUCACUGGGUUAGUCUGGAUCACUAGGUUAGUCUGGGUCACUAGGUUAGUCUGGGUCACUGGGUUUGUCUGGAUCACUUGGUUAGUUUGGGCCACUAGGUUAGUCUGGGUCACUAGUCUAGUCUGGGUCACUGGGUUAGUCUGGGCCACUGGAUUAGUCUGGAUCACUAGGUUAGUCUGGGUCAAUGGGUUAGUCAGGAUCACUAGGUUAGUCUGGGUCACGAGGUUAGUCUGGAUCACUAGGUUAGUCUGGGUCACUGGGUUAGUCUGGGUCACUAGGUUAGUCUGGAUCACUAGGUUAGUCUGGGUCACUAGGUUAGUCUGGGUCACUAGGUUAGUCUGGAUCACUAGGUUAGUCC